rnacentral:rRNA from 1 species
CGUGCCUAAUACAUGCAAGUCGAGCGGAAGAAGGGAGCUUGUCCCGGAUGUUAGCGGCGGACGGGUGAGUAACACGUGGGUAACCUGCCUGUAAGACUGGGAUAACUCCGGGAAACCGGAGCUAAUACCGGAUAGUUCCUUGAACCGCAUGGUUCAAGGAUGAAAGACGGUUUCGGCUGUCACUUACAGAUGGACCCGCGGCGCAUUAGCUAGUUGGUGAGGUAACGGCUCACCAAGGCGACGAUGCGUAGCCGACCUGAGAGGGUGAUCGGCCACACUGGGACUGAGACACGGCCCAGACUCCUACGGGAGGCAGCAGUAGGGAAUCUUCCGCAAUGGACGAAAGUCUGACGGAGCAACGCCGCGUGAGUGAUGAAGGUUUUCGGAUCGUAAAGCUCUGUUGUUAGGGAAGAACAAGUGCAAGAGUAACUGCUUGCACCUUGACGGUACCUAACCAGAAAGCCACGGCUAACUACGUGCCAGCAGCCG